rnacentral:rRNA from 1 species
UACGGGGGGAGCAAGCGUUGUUCGGAUUUACUGGGCGUAAAGGGCGCGUAGGCGGUCAGCACAAGUCAAUUGUGAAAUCUCCGAGCUUAACUCGGAAAGGUCAACUGAAACUGUGCGACUAGAGUGCGGAAGGGGCAACUGGAAUUCUUGGUGUAGCGGUGAAAUGCGUAGAUAUCAAGAGGAACACCUGCGGCGAAGGCGGGUUGCUGGGCCGACACUGACGCUGAAGCGCGAAAGCGUGGGGAGCAAACAGG